CACAGACAAGACUAUCCAUCUCUCGCAUCUCUCCUGACCAUCAGACAUUCCCAUUUUCAUCUCUGCCCUUCCUGUGCUUGCCUUCUUCCCCGACAGAUGCGUCAUCUCUCUGCUCUUUUCCCCCCCGACACCGGUCUUCCUUUCUGAAUUUAAGCAUUUUUGCCGUGCCAUUUCUGCUCCCCUCACUUCACAUGUCUGCUCUCCUCCUCCUUCUUGACUUUCCCCAGGGCCCUGGAGUUGCUUUCUUUGGAGACAGUGUCUACUCGCUCUUUCUUUCCAGAGCUUUGGCCAGCUGGCCCCAGAAAUCCAUCAGUGGCCCAUCAGGGACCAGGCUAGCAGCUGUCACUCCCACCGUGGAAUUUAGUGCAUAAGAGAACUCAACUGAAGAAAUCAGAGAAGGAGGGAUUAUCUUCUGAGAAGCCCGGUUUCCAACUCCAGAGACAGUUGAAAAGACCGAAGUGGGGCCCUCCAUGUUGAGUCGUCAUCUGAACAAGUUGGAAUGGCUGUUAAGGACACUGGAUGUGUAAUUUCCUGCCGUAGCAAAUUGGAGGCUUCACACAGUCCUCUUGCUGUUGACCUGGUUAUAUUUUCCUGACUUGGUGCAGUCUUAAGAAGCAGUUGAAUUUGUCGAUUACGUUUGCUGGAGGGAG
rnacentral:lncRNA from 1 species